AAAUCAUUCAGAAGAGAUGCUGUUUUUAUGUCAGUUUAUUAAAGAAGACCUGACAUGGAUGACUUCCAAUGAGAAACGACUGCUAAUACUUAUAUAAAUUUAUUACAGAAGGACCCUACCAGACUAUAUUUGAAUACGGCAUACCCAUGAAUUCUGGAACUUUUAUUUCUUAACCCAGUUUGGAGGAUAAGAGCUUACCAACUAGUUAUAAAUAUGCUGAAGCGAUGUAUUGCAAAAUAGCCAACAUACAACAAUUAAAGGAUAAUUGCAGACUAUAUCCUGAUGAAGAUAUGGAUGACCCUCUGUCUGGUCAACAGGAGUUUAAAUAUGGACGGGACAGUGAUGUGGCAGCUCUUCCCUGACUCAUUCACUUCUUGCCUUCAUUUGUGAAAGGAAGAAAGACUGGAGAGGGUCAAUGUGCAACUGAAGCUACUGAUUGUGCUGUGUGAUGAGCAUCAAUCCAUGCUUUGAGGGGGAUGAAUCAGCACAGCCCUGCCUGCUCUGCGUUGGGAACAAAAGUUGCAUCCAGAAUUUUUGCAUCAUUCUGGACCAAAAAGCCAUUCCCUCCAUGAUGAAGACCACUGAUGCAGCCUUCCACUACUGUACAGUAAAACAACUACAGAACUAAAUACCAGGUUGGAACGUGUUUAAGAAAAAUGAAACGUCUUUUGAAUUGAAAUGUCUGUUUUGUUAUGGAAAAAAUCUUUAGUAUUGUGAAGG